rnacentral:sRNA from 1 species
UCUGAAAGUUAAUUCUCCCUUUCUCCCAUUUCUGGAUGUGUGUAGACUUUAAAUGGUUUAAUGAGCAUGGCUUUGAAGUUUAGGAUUCUAAUGGCCCUAGUCCCUUUGCCCACACGAUUGUGUGUGCUUUAGUCACUAAGGCAGAAGGUCAUUACUUUGUUCUGUGCAUCUUUGGAAAUUGCACCCUCAUUCUUCAGAAGGCCAGGAGACCCCAGGGCUCAGCCUGAGUUCUAGGAUGGUACUUUGGCCCCAGCAUUAACACUGUAAUACUGUUUCAUUUUCCCAAUAGUUAUAUGAUCCUCUGUUGAAGCAAGAAGACAAACUGUAUGGUGGAGAAAGAAGUGGGAAGGAUCUGCGCGGAAGAAGCCUGAGAAGAUGAUGCACAGAUAGAGAGGCACCAGGACUUGGGAGGCACGUUGAUCCAUCUCCAGGAAAGACUGAGAAAAAGAGCGUUGAAUAUAAGAAAAAAUACUUCCUCUGUUCUCAGAUCGUAUUUGUUUUAAGGCCACACCUUUUUGAAGUUUUCAGUUUGAAACACAACCUGGACUGAAAU